CGUAGGGGUUCUGAGAGAAAGGUCCCCCACACUGGUACUGAGACACGGACCAGACUCCUACGGGAGGCAGCAGUGAGGAAUAUUGGUCAAUGGCCGGGAGGCUGAACCAGCCAAGUCGCGUGAGGGAAGACGGCCCUACGGGUUGUAAACCUCUUUUGUCAGGGAGCAAGAGGCGGGUCGAGACCUGCUGUGAGAGUACCUGAAGAAAAAGCAUCGGCUAACUCCGUGCCAGCAGCCGCGGUAAUACGGAGGAUGCGAGCGUUAUCCGGAUUUAUUGGGUUUAAAGGGUGCGCAGGCGGAGGCACAAGUCAGCGGUAAAAUCGCGGGGCUCAACCCCGCUCCGCCGUUGAAACUGUGUCCCUUGAGUGCGCGAAGGGUAGGCGGAAUGCGUGGUGUAGCGGUGAAAUGCAUAGAUAUCACGCAGAACUCCGAUCGCGAAGGCAGCCUACCGGCGCGCAACUGACGCUCAUGCACGAAAGCGUGGGUAUCGAACAGGAUUAGAUACCCUGGUAGUCCACGCAGUAAACGAUGAAUGCUAUCUGUCCGGCCGGAAUGACGGCUGG
rnacentral:rRNA from 1 species